rnacentral:rRNA from 1 species
GACGAACGCUGGCGGCGUGCUUAACACAUGCAAGUCGAACGGAAAGGCCCUGCUUUUGUGGGGUGCUCGAGUGGCGAACGGGUGAGUAACACGUGAGUAACCUGCCCUUGACUUUGGGAUAACUUCAGGAAACUGGGGCUAAUACCGGAUAGGAGCUCCUGCUGCAUGGUGGGGGUUGGAAAGUUUCGGCGGUUGGGGAUGGACUCGCGGCUUAUCAGCUUGUUGGUGGGGUAGUGGCUUACCAAGGCUUUGACGGGUAGCCGGCCUGAGAGGGUGACCGGCCACAUUGGGACUGGGAUACGGCCCAGACUCCUUCGGGAGGCAGCAGUGGGGAAUAUUGCACAAUGGGCGGAAGCCUGAUGCAGGAACGCCGCGUGCGGGAUGACGGCCUUCGGGUUGUAAUCCGCUUUCGCCUGUGACGAAGCGUGAGUGACGGUAAUGGGUAAAGAAGCACCGGCUAACUACGUG